UGCCCCGUGGCUGAGUUGGUUACAGCGUCCGACUGUUAAACGUUUCGCUUCCAUCGACGGAGCAAUCGGAAGGUCGUGAGUUCGAGCCUCACCGGGGCAG